UACGUAGGGUGCGAGCGUUGCCCGGAUUUAUUGGGCGUAAAGGGCGCGUAGGCGGUGAGAUGCGUCCGUUGUGAAAUCGCCCGGCUCAACUGGGCGGGGUCAGCGGAUACGGUCUCACUUGAGCAAGCUAGGGGGCAAUGGAAUUCCCGGUGUAGUGGUGGAAUGCGUAGAUAUCGGGAGGAAUACCAGUGGCGAAGGCGGCUUCUUGGCCUGUUCUUGACGCUGAGGUGCGAAAGCGUGGGGAGCAAACAGGG
rnacentral:rRNA from 1 species